AUGUUUGAUCAUGGCUCAGGAUGAACGCUGGCGGCGUGCUUAACACAUGCAAGUCGAACGAUGAUGGGAGCUUGCUCCUGGAUUAGUGGCGAACGGGUGAGUAACACGUGAGUAAUCUGCCCUUCACUCUGGGAUAACUGCCUGAAAGGGUGGCUAAUACUGGAUGCGACCAACUGCUGCAUGGUGUGUUGGUGGAAAGCGUUUAGUGGUGGGGGAUGUGCUCGCGGCCUAUCAGCUUGUUGGUGGGGUAAUGGCCUACCAAGGCUUUGACGGGUAGCCGGCCUGAGAGGGUGACCGGCCACACUGGGACUGAGACACGGCCCAGACUCCUACGGGAGGCAGCAGUGGGGAAUCUUGGACAAUGGGCGCAAGCCUGAUCCAGCCAUGCCGCGUGAGUGAUGAAGGCCUUCGGGUUGUAAAACUCUUUUGGCGGGGACGAUAAUGACGGUACCCGCAGAAUAAGCUCCGGCUAACUUCGUGCCAGCAGCCGCGGUAAUAGCU
rnacentral:rRNA from 1 species